rnacentral:lncRNA from 1 species
AACGUCCGACGCGGUGGGAGUGGAUAUGCUCCUACUCAAUUCACAGGUAAGUUGUGUUCCUCUGUCUUGCGUUCGUAGCUAAAAUAUUUUUCUGGUCAUAUAUUUUAAUAAAGUUUCCAUUGUGUUGAAUCCAUAUUACCAAGCUUUCAUGUUUAGGUUUUUGUUUUACAUAUAUUUUGAAUAAGACAAUUUAAAACCGCUUGUUGAUUGUUCUGUCUAAUUCACAUAUGUUCAGGCGAUCAUGAUGUCGGGGCACCGUGAAUGUCAACCGUAAAACAUUGAGAGAGUACAUGUCGUCUAAGGGCCAUAUACCAAAAGCGUAAGGCAUUGUUUUAAAAAGUUGGUUGAGUCCACCAAAACUCUCGCAUCAGCAUGUAUGUAUAGACCAUGUUUCCUGUUAGUUUUUUUUAAUUCAAUAUUAAAGUUUAAUAAGCUCAC